rnacentral:lncRNA from 1 species
AUUCUUAGAUGUCAAGAGUCCAUAUUUACCUUGUUCAUUAUUAUCAUAUGGCUUAAAUAUAAAUUUGGCGUCUGAACUUGUGCACUUCUCUUAGGUUGGUAUCUAAUCUUCAACUAAUUUGAUACUCUUUUUAACAAUAUUAAAUUUGGGACAAAUGGCAAUAUUAGACAAAUACACUGUCAUUAGUACCAUCAAAAUGAUGGUUGAAUAUAAAAAUUAAAUAAAAAUUAUUGAAAAUUUUAAAAGUAUAUAUAUAAAUAAUAAUGAAUACAUAAAUAAAAAAACAUUACAAAAUUAAGAAACAUAUAAAAAGUUGCUUCAUCUCAUCUUGGUUUGUUCAUGAACUUGUUCAUCUUCAUCUCUUAAUAUUCUUCAUUUUCAAAACUUCAUUUCUUUCAUCAUUGUCUUCUUUCUUCAAAAACCCAUAACUUAAUCUUCAAUUUUGCUUCGUCACCAUUAUCACUCCAAACAACUCAGAACCAAAAUAAAAAGACAUUUCAGAUUCGGACUCAGAACUCAAAACUUUGCAAAUUAGAACCCAAACCCAAAAAAGUCAAAAUAAUCUAGAACCCCAAUAUCAAUUUUUUUUGGUAAAAUACUCGGUCAAAUCUACAAAAUCCACACAUAAAUGUUUAUACAAAAUUCCACGGAACCAUCAAGACAAUCGCAAAAAUCAAAUUUGAGAAUUAAAAUUCGACUUUGAUAUACCUCAGUAUAUGGGAUGCCCAGAAAAUUGCAAGCACAAGACCAAGAGACUAUUGUUUCUGUGAUAUGCAUCCUUUGGCCCUUCAGCCCACUCCCAGUCCCACAAGCAGAUUCCCUAGCCUGUGGCGGAGAUCGAAGUUUUGAAAACCCAAGGAUCAAUCUUUGAUUUUUUCGGCUUUGAAGAGAUUUCCUUGGAAAUACAAGGCAGGAUUUGAGACGAGGUUGAAGAGAGAAAUAUUUUGGUGGUAGGAUCGGCCGGAGAAGGCCAUGGAUGGCAGUGGUUAAGGUAUGAAGAAAGAAGAGAAUGGAGAAGAUGAAAGAGGAAAAGAAAAAAAAGUCAAUGAAGUGAGAAAGAAAAAGGUUUUUUUGUUAUUUUGAUUUAAUUUUUUGGUAACUUUGUUAGUUUAUAACUUUUUUUUAAAAAUUUUAUUUAAUUUUUAAUAUUUAUUGAUUUUUUUAUAAUUUUUAUAACUUCUAAUCUAUUUUUAGAUUUUUUUUAAACAUUUUAAAAUAUUUUUUUAAAAUGAUUAUAUCAUUCAUUGACACGUGGCAUAAUUUCAUAAGGCCACAUGUCUCAAACUUAACACCAUUACAAAAAAAAAAAGUAUAGUGGACAAAAUGAAAAUUUGAGUACCAACUUAAAAC